rnacentral:rRNA from 1 species
AUUGAACGCUGGCGGCAUGCUUUACACAUGCAAGUCGAACGGUAACAGGGAGCUUGCUCCGCUGACGAGUGGCGAACGGGUGAGUAAUGCGUCGGAACGUGCCGAGUAGUGGGGGAUAACGCAGCGAAAGUUGUGCUAAUACCGCAUACGUACUGAGGUAGAAAGUGGGGGACCUUCGGGCCUCACGCUAUUCGAGCGGCCGACGUCUGAUUAGCUAGUAGGUGAGGUAAAGGCUCACCAAGGCGACGAUCCGUAGCGGGUCUGAGAGGAUGAUCCGCCACACUGGGACUGAGACACGGCCCAGACUCCUACGGGAGGCAGCAGUGGGGAAUUUUGGACAAUGGACGCAAGUCUGAUCCAGCCAUGCCGCGUGAGUGAAGAAGGCCUUCGGGUUGUAAAGCUCUUUUGUCAGGGAGCAAAUCCUGCCUGCUAAUACUAGGUGGGGAUGAGAGUACCUGAAGAAUAAGCACCGGCUAACUACGUGCCAGCCGCCGCCAUAAUAC